GACGAACGCUGGCGGCGUGCUUAACACAUGCAAGUCGAGCGAUGAAGCUCCUUCGGGAGUGGAUUAGCGGCGGACGGGUGAGUAACACGUGGGCAACCUGCCUUAUAGAGAGGAAUAGCCAUCCGAAAGGAUGAUUAAUACCUCAUAAUAUUGUAGCUUCGCAUGGAGCAACAAUCAAAGGAGCAAUCCACUAUAAGAUGGGCCCGCGGCGCAUUAGCUAGUUGGUGAGGUAACGGCUCACCAAGGCGACGAUGCGUAGCCGACCUGAGAGGGUGAUCGGCCACAUUGGGACUGAGACACGGCCCAGACUCCUACGGGAGGCAGCAGUGGGGAAUAUUGCACAAUGGGGGAAACCCUGAUGCAGCAACGCCGCGUGAGUGAUGACGGCCUUCGGGUUGUAAAGCUCUGUCUUCAGGGACGAUAAUGACGGUACCCGGAGAAGAAGCCCCGGCUAACUUCGUGCCAGCCGCCGCGGUAA
rnacentral:rRNA from 1 species